GACGAACGCUGGCGGCGUGCUUAACACAUGCAAGUCGAGCGGUAAGGCCCUUUCGGGGGUACACGAGCGGCGAACGGGUGAGUAACACGUGGGUGACCUGCCCUCAGCUCUGGGAUAAGCCCGGGAAACUGGGUCUAAUACCGGAUAUGACUUCAUGACGCAUGUUGUGGAGUGGAAAGCCUUGUGCGGCUGAGGAUGGGCCCGCGGCCUAUCAGCUUGUUGGUGGGGUGAUGGCCUACCAAGGCGACGACGGGUAGCCGGCCUGAGAGGGCGACCGGCCACACUGGGACUGAGACACGGCCCAGACUCCUACGGGAGGCAGCAGUGGGGAAUCUUGCGCAAUGGGCGAAAGCCUGACGCAGCGACGCCGCGUGAGGGAUGACGGCCU
rnacentral:rRNA from 1 species